rnacentral:rRNA from 1 species
GAUGAACGCUAGCUACAGGCUUAACACAUGCAAGUCGAGGGACCGGCGCACGGGUGAGUAACACGUAUCCAACCUGCCCUUUACUCGGGGAUAGCCUUUCGAAAGAAAGAUUAAUACCCGAUAUAAAGGAUGGGGAUGCGUUCCAUUAGGUUGUUGGUGAGGUAAUGGCUCACCAAGCCUUCGAUGGAUAGGGGUUCUGAGAGGAAGGUCCCCCUCAAUGGAAUGGAGACACGGUCCAAACUCCUACGCGAGGCAGCAGUGAGGAACAUUGGGCAACGGGCGCUCGCCCGAACCAGCCAAGUAGCGUGAAGGAUGAAGGCUUAUGGGUCGUAAACUUCUUGUAUAUAAGAAUAUGUAUUAUAUGAAUACUGAUCCGCUAACUCCGUGCCAGCAGCCGCGGUAAUUC